rnacentral:rRNA from 1 species
UACGGGGGGUGCGAGCGUUGUCCGGAAUCACUGGGCGUAAAGGGCGCGUAGGUGGCAUGAUAAGGGUGUGGUGAAAGCCCGGGGCUCAACCCCGGGUCUGCCAUGCCGACUGUCACGCUCGAGUACUGUAGGGGCAGGCGGAAUUCCGGGUGUAGCGGUGGAAUGCGUAGAGAUCCGGAAGAACACCGGUGGCGAAGGCGGCCUGCUGGGACAGUGCUGACGCUGAGGCGCGACAGCGUGGGGAGCAAACAGG